CAGUCGGGGGAUCUCCCGCAAGGGAGGGAACCGGCGUAAGGGGCAGUAAGGCAUGGGUACCUACCCUGAAGUUCGGGAUAGCCAUCAGAGAUGGUGGGUAAUACCGGAUGAUGUCGUGAGACCAAAGAUUUAUCGCUUUGGGAGGGGCCCAUGUGAUAUUAGCUAGUUGGUGAGGUAACGGCUCACCAAGGCGAAGAUGUCUAGCGGGUAUGAGAGUACGACCCGCGCCACUCGCACUGAGACACUGGCGAGACACCUACGGGUGGCUGCAGUCGAGGAUCUUCGGCAAUGGGCGAAAGCCUGACCGAGCGAUGCCGCGUGCGCGAUGAAUGCCUUCGGGUUGUAAAGCGCUUUAGUGGGGGAGAAAGGGGUAAAACCUUGAUCUAUCCCAAAAAUAAGCUCGGGCUAAGUUCGUGCCAGCAGCCGCGGUAAGACAAACCGAGCGAACGUUGUUCGGAAUCACUGGGCUUAAAGGGCGCGUAGGCGGGCUGUCAAGUCUGGGGUGAAAUCCCACGGCUCAACCGUGGAACUGCCUUAGAUACUGACGGCCUCGAGGGAGAUAGGGGCGAGCGGAACUGUGAGUGGAGCGGUGAAAUGCGUUGAUAUUCACAGGAACUCCGGUGGCGAAGGCGGCUCGCUGGAUCUUUUCUGACGCUGAGGCGCGAAAGCUAGGGGAGCAAACGGGAUUAGAUACCCCGGUGGUCCUAGCCCUAAACGUUGGGUACUGGGUAGUAGACUAGACAUGGGGUUUACUGCCGCAGCAAAAGUGCUAAGUA
rnacentral:rRNA from 1 species